GUUCGUAUUUCCUAAACGGUUAAAUUUUAUUAAGUUUUAUUAGCAAUUUGAUAUAAGAUGAAAGCCUCACGCUUGUUGGUUUGACGAGAUGUUGUGUAACUGCUGGUUCACUCGUUGAAUGGCCGCUUAGGUGGUUGUUGGUUGAUUAAAUCAUUUGCAUGGGUGAUGGCUUGUUCAAUAACUGAGUGACUGCUGUAAUUAUUUUAAUAGUUCCAGCUUUGGCAUGGCAAGAUAUUAUAUCCAACCACAGUGUCCCUUCUGAAAUCGACUGUUCAUUUAACUGUGGUAAUGAGCCAACAUGUGCUGGAUUUAAAUACAAAUUUGGUACAAACAGUCCAUCAGUAAACUGCCAACUCAGCAACACUACUGGCAAGAACAACAUGGCAUAUUAUGAUGAUCAAGGCUGGGUGUUUUUUAUCGAUGUUACAAAACAAUUGGUACGUAUACUUAAAGUAUGCGGGAUACGUAACAGUUCAUGGUCUAAAACGAACUCUUGAAACAAUAGCGUGAUUUCUCUUCCGAAUUUUUAUCUCCAUGUUUCAUUGUUUCGAUAUUUUGUUUUUUUCAAUUUAGUACGUCACUCCUGGUAUUCCUACAACUGAGAAUGAAAUGACUACAACGCCUGGUAUUCCUACAACUG